rnacentral:rRNA from 1 species
AGCGAACGCUGGCGGCAGGCCUAACACAUGCAAGUCGAACGGACCCUUCGGGGUUAGUGGCGGACGGGUGAGUAACACGUGGGAACGUGCCUUUAGGUUCGGAAUAGCUCCUGGAAACGGGUGGUAAUGCCGAAUGUGCCCUCCGGGGGAAAGAUUUAUCGCCUGUAGAGCGGCCCGCGUCUGAUUAGCUAGUUGGUGAGGUAACGGCUCACCAAGGCGACGAUCAGUAGCUGGUCUGAGAGGAUGACCAGCCACACUGGGACUGAGACACGGCCCAGACUCCUACGGGAGGCAGCAGUGGGGAAUCUUGCGCAAUGGGCGAAAGCCUGACGCAGCCAUGCCGCGUGAAUGAUGAAGGUCUUAGGAUUGUAAAAUUCUUUCACCGGGGACGAUAAUGACGGUACCCGGAGAAGAAGCCCCGGCUAACUUCGUGCCAGCAGCCGCUGUAA